ensembl:snRNA U6 U6 spliceosomal RNA
GUGCUCAUUUCAGCAGCAUAUAUAUUAAAAUUGCAAUGAUACAGAGAAGAUUAGCAUGACCCCUGAGCAAAGAUGACACACAAAUUUGUGAAGUGUUCCAUAUUUUU